GACAGAGGGUGCAAACGUUGUUCGGAAUUACUGGGCGUAAAGCGAGUGUAGGCGGUUUGGUAAGUCAGGUGUGAAAGCCCUGGGCUCAACCCAGGAAGUGCACUUGAAACUGCCAAGCUAGAGUAUCGGAGAGGUUGGUGGAAUUCUCGGUGUAGAGGUGAAAUUCGUAGAUAUCGGGAGGAUCACCGGUGGCGAAGGCGGCGACCUGGGUAGAUACUGACGCUGAGGUGCGAAAGCGUGGGGAGCAAACAGG
rnacentral:rRNA from 1 species